GAGGCGUGGGAAACCGGCAGGAAUAUGGAUUUUAGUGUCAUCACGUCUUGCAACCUGCUAAGCUCACUGAAGUUUUUUAUAAGUCCUCGAAAAGACAGUGGCACCUGGUUUUCCUUCCCCAUGUGGAACCCUCUACAGCUUCCAGCAAGUUCCAUCACCCAGAGGACGCCAUGCAAGGAAGUGGCAAUGCCGGGACUUGAAGACCUGCUCCAGUGACAGGCCCUACUCUCACCUGCCCUGCCCUGAAAAACAGCCUCAGUGGCCUAGGGAAGUCCCCAGGUCAGGGGUCACAUCUAAGCUGCAACUGCAGCCUACGCCACAGCAACCCUGGAUCCAAACCACUUCUGUGACCUACACCGCAGCUUAUGGCAAUGCAGGAUCCUUAACCCGCUGACUGAGGCCAGGGAUGGAACCGGUGACGUCACAGAGACAACACUAGGUCCUUGACCAGCUGAGCCACAGCGGGAACCCCCAGUCUGGUUUUUGAAGCAGAGGUCAUCAAACUUUUUUGCUCCUGUAUCCCCGAAUAAAUUUUGAAAAACUCGCCCUUCCGCAUUCCAAGCAGACGUCUAAGUUUUGCAUCGUCAAUGUAGAGAGUCGUAAAGGAGGUCGUGUCUGGCACAUCAUCGUUUUAAUCCAACUUUUCAUAACACUUUUAAAUGUAUACAAUGGCCACGAAGUCCUAAGGCAAUUUGAUAUUCUCAUCACCCAAUUAAAAUAUGCGUUAAUCAGUAUCCUUCUAGGGAGUUCCCACUGUGGCUCAUUGGUUUACGAACCCAGCUUGUGUCCAUGAGGAUGCAAGUUGAUCCUCGGCCUUGUUCAGUGGGUUAAGGAUCCAGCGUUGCCAUGAGCAGUGGUGUAGGUCGCAGACACGGCUCAGAUCUGGCAUUGCUGUGGUUGUGUCACAGGCUGGCAGCUGCAGGUCUGGUUUGACCCCUGGCCUGGGAACCUCCAUAUGCCACAGGUGUGGCCCUAAAAAGCAAGUAAAUAAAGAAAUAAUCCUUCUUUACAAGAAAUUUUAAAAUGCUUUUUUCUUCUUGAACCUACAUUUCAAUUUCACUUUUUCCUUGCAAAGAAGACAUAAUGUAAUAUCUUUUUUUUUUUUUUUUUCCGGUCCUUUUAGGGCCACACCCACGGCAUGUGGAGGUUCCCGGGCCAGGGGUCAAAUCAGAGCCAUAGCUGCGGUCUACAUCACAGUCACAGCAAUGCAGGAUCCAAGCCGCAUCUGCAACCUACACCACAGCUCACGGCAACACCAGAUCCUUAAUCUACUGAGCAAGGCCAGGGAUCGAACCUUUGUCCUCAUGGAUACUAGUCAGGUUUGUUACUGCUGAGCCAUGAUGGGAGCUCCUUUUGAAAGUAUUUUAUUAAGCACCCUAUCAUUUCUCUCUGUCAAAUGGCUGUGGCUGUGCAUUUAAAUGUAAUAAAAAUAUC
rnacentral:lncRNA from 1 species